rnacentral:rRNA from 1 species
GCCGGCAGCUAGCUCUCUGCAACUCUCACAUGUUCGCCCACUGAAGCUAAGCAGGGCUGCACCCUGUCAGUACCUGGAUUGGAGACCACAUGGGAAAGCUAGGUUGCUGCCGGAA